rnacentral:sRNA from 1 species
UACAGCAAGGACUGAUAACGCUACGAAGAGUGGCUUCGGAGACGCCUAAUCCGUGAGGCGGAGACAGAGCAUUCGGUCUUUCUGGAACCGGUGCCCUGGUUCUUGCCCGUGUCAAGGAAAGGCCGCUCGUCGUCCAUGGGACGUCUCGGAUCUGGAAAUCAGCUGAUCGCCGUAGCAGUUUUCCUGCCGGGACGUGCUUCCUCCCUGGACUUAGCUAGAGGUGAUUAUCGAGGAUAGCGAUUGAAUAUCAAUAAGAUAUUGAAACUUUUUAAUGUCUAUAUUCAGAGACCGUAACGACUCGACGUCAUCGGAGAGGGCGAUGUUUCGUGGC